GACGAACGCUGGCGGCGUGCUUAACACAUGCAAGUCGAACGGAAAGGCCCUGCUUUUGUCGGGUGCUCGAGUGGCGAACGGGUGAGUAACACGUGAGUAACCUGCCCUUGACUUUGGGAUAACUUCAGGAAACUGGGGCUAAUACCUGAUAGGAGCUCCUGCUGCAUGGUGGGGGUUGGAAAGUUUCGGCGGUUGGGGAUGGACUCGCGGCUUAUCAGCUUGUUGGUGGGGUAGUGGCUUACCAAGGCUUUGACGGGUAGCCGGCCUGAGAGGGUGACCGGCCACAUUGGGACUGAGAUACGGCCCAGACUCCUACGGGAGGCAGCAGUGGGAAAUAUUGCACAAUGGGCGGAAGCCUGAUGCAGCAACGUCGCGUGCGGGAUGACGGUCUUCGGGGUGUAAACCGCUUUCGGCUGUGACGAAGCGUGAGUGACGGUAAUGGAUAAAGAAGCACCGGCUAACUACGUG
rnacentral:rRNA from 1 species